UGCCGGUUGUACUAGCCAGGAUGGCGUGAUUGAUGACGAAUCGCUUGUAAAAACGUAGUCUCCUAUGCAGACCUACUUUAGCGGGUUUGGGCCCGCCACGUACGGUCUGCUUACUUUGGCUAGCAAUUCGCCUUCCCAUUGUAUUCCAUUAGCCAAUAGCAUUCAAAUACACUAGACACGCCCACUUUGAAUGUCAACUGUAAAGUGUAAACAAGGAGCGUGCGAUAAUCGAAUAAUAAUACGGUAUAUAUACGUAUUUAAAUGGCCA